GUGAUUGCUAGCCCCAGUGGAACCUGGUAAUGAAAAAGAUAGCAAUAUUACAUUCUAGAGUAUGGUACAACACUAUUAAUGCAACCGAACAAUUAUAAAAUCUUGAGCUGUUAGAGAUGCAACAUUCCAGUGGUGUCAUUUUGACUUUGAACUUUUCACUUUUGCUACUCUAUUAAGAAUGUUAAAGUCCGUAGGUUUGCACUUAUGCUCCACCUGCAAAUCCAUGUAGUUUGUUCCACUUGGGUUGCCUCAUAGGCUACUUACAUUUUUUGCUUGUUUGUUUUUGUUGGGCCCACAAGAGAUAAUGGGUUUUAAAUGGAAAGUCCCAGGUUGGUUGCGAAAAAGAAUCUGACACAAGUUUCAAAGUUGCAUGGGAGAAGUCUCUCCAGUCAAUGGCUUAGGCUUAUAAAUGUGAAGCAAAAAUAGCAAUCAGAAUAUAUAAUGGAAAAUCAACAAGAAAGAAGAUUAGAUCUGUGCACUAAGGGCAGAGGGAAGAGCAAAAACAGCAACAAUGGAAAACAGGAUGAUUGAAAGAUCAAUUUGUCAAAGUAAACUUACCGCAUAAAU
rnacentral:misc_RNA from 1 species